rnacentral:rRNA from 1 species
UACGUAGGGGGCAAGCGUUGUCCGGAUUUAUUGGGCGUAAAGAGCGUGUAGGCGGCUAGAUAGGUCCGUUGUGAAAACUCGAGGCUCAACCUCGAGACGUCGAUGGAAACCAUCUGGCUAGAGUCCGGAAGAGGUGAGUGGAAUUCCUGGUGUAGCGGUGAAAUGCGUUGAGAUCGGAAGGAACGCCCGUGGCGAAAGCGGGCUCCUGGGCCCCACCUGACGCUGAGACGCGAAAGCUAGGGGAGCGAACGGG